CCGCAUAAGCAAAAUCAUUGAGGUGGAUUUCAAUGGUACCAGGUUCAGUCCUUUCGCAGCAGCUUAAUGGUUUUUCGCUCAAAGUGCCUUCCUCUUCCAGGUGCCAUGCUAGUUCGAUGUCAAAUGGUGAAGAUAAUGAUGUGGACUCUAGAUCCCCGAGUGAUGACCCGUGUUCUGGUCUGGUCUGGUUUGUACUCGUGUGACAUCUGGAUCCCGUAAUAGCCCAAAAACAGGCUUUACAUGUAAUGACUAUGACAACUCUCAAAGCACACAGGGCAGGACUCUCGAGCUCUCCAAUCAGGCAUUUAAUAUGACAACUAUACACAGCAGUGCCAAAUUCGCUACAUGUUUGGAUAUUCAGCACGCGCCUGUCAGCUCAAAACUUUCAUCAGCUAUUGUAGAGUCCUCAAAUGAUGUUGAUUAUUCAUCUGAUGGUAGUUCCUCUAAAGGUAACUCAUCUGAAGGGCACUCUUCUCAAAUCCCAAUUUCAUUCGAAUCCAGUAUCAAUACUGAUAUGCCCUUAUCCCAUUUUAAAGUAUCAAGAGUUAUUAAGCAGCGUGGAAAACCAAGACCAAUUAUUGACCUAUGGGACUUAACACCCUAAAUUAGCAUCAACUGAAAAACUUAAACAUACCAAGACCUAACCUCAAAAUCCACAUGAUAAAGUCUCUCACACACAAGACGCUUGUGUGGCCACUGACAGUGAGAUAAUGUGAAGGAAUAACUCAAUUUUGAGAUGAAAUUCUAAGGAGUCAGUAAUCUCGCGAAGGAAGGAAGCUACUUCCACUCUUGUAGCUGGAAAAGAACUUGGAAUAGUUUUCGAAUGAGAUGACAUUGGAUUCAUAGAUCAGUUUGCCAGACAUAUCUUUAGUGACCUUGUCCGUAAGAACUGCAAUGAACUUUCUUUAAUUAUUAUAUCUAUUGGGUGUUUUCCUUCUCCAUUGGUGCUCGAUUUGUUGUCUUUGGCUGUAUCUACUCUUAUCUUUUAUGUCAAUAUAUUUUCACGCUUAACAUGGAACGCUAGGGGUGUUUGUGGUGCAAAUAAAAAAUCCCACCUUAAGAGCCUUGUUGGGAAAAUAUUCAGUUGAUGUUGUGGUGAAACAAAAAGUGAUUCUAUUUCUUUCUCUGAAAUAAGAGGUGUUUGGGGGAUGAGGAAUUUAGGUUGGACUUCUAUUCAAGCAGUAGGCCUUUCUGGGGGCCUUUUGGUAAUAUGGAACAAAGAAACUAUUGAUAUUAAAAGAAGUUUAUGCUGUGAUAGGUGGAUAUUAUUACCCGGUUCCAUUUUAUCUUGUAACUAUGAGGUGUUGAUGGCAUUUUUAUACACUCCUUGUGAUAUCCAUGAACAACAACUGUUAUGGUUUGAAAUUUUGCAAGAACUAAGCUCCAUUGGUGGGAAUUUUUUGUUAAUGGGGGACUUCAAUCAGGUGUUACACAGGUCUGACUGAAGGUGUGGAAGGUUCUUUCAGGAGGGAAUGGCAAAUUUCAGAAAUUUUGUCAAUGCUUUGAAUCUGUUUGAUGUUGCAUUGUCAGGGAAGUUGUUCACUUGUAGAAACUCUCAAGCAGUGAGCAAAAUUGAUAGAGCUCUUGUUUCUUUUGAAUGACAAUCUCAAUUUCCUCAUCUUCUGCUUACUGCCUUACCUAGGGGGCCUUCCGAUCAUAAUCCCAUUAUGCUAACUACAAGUAAUCAAAAUUGGGGUCCAAAGCCGAUGAGAUUUGUAGAUGCUUGGUGGACAUGGCCUAAUUUAUUGUAAAAAAAUUUUUGGUUGGAAUGUGCUGGUACUACAUCUUUUCCGCAUAAGUCGAAACUUUUUGAGGCAAAAGCUCAAAGUAUGGAAUAAUGAGAUGUUUGGCCAUUCAGGCAACAAGCUCUCUUCUUUGAAAUCCUCAUUGGAUAAUUUGGAAUCAGUGGCAGAACAAGAACCUCGACUUCAGAUGAGUUAAAUCUCCAUCAAUUGAAAUCGGAGAUUCACUUAUGGACAGCUAGGGAAGAAAGCAUUUGGAGGCAAAAGUCACGAAUAUCAUGGUGUAUGUUGGGAGAUAAAAGUACAAGAUUCUUUCAUUUAUAGUGCAGUAAUCGAUGGCAGAAAAACAAAUUACAAGAAUUGUGGUUGAUGGUACUGCUUUCUUUUCGAAGAAUGCUAUCAGGCAAGCUGUGUUUGAACACUUUAAAUCUAGAUUCUACCAAUCCUACCAACACUCAUGCUCAGCGCCAAAUUUGAGGUAUCUUCAUCUGGAUCUUUUUGAGGCUUCUGCACUUGAGAUUCCUUUUUCUCCUCAGGAGAUUAAAUUUGCAAUAUGGGACUAUGACUCCUUUAAGGCACCUGGGCCUGAUGGUGCAAAUUUUCCAUUUUUUUUAUAAGAAAGCAUGGCCGCUCCUCAAAGAAGAGAUCUUUCAUAUACUAGGUGAGUUCCAUUGCUCCUCUGUACUCCCUACGGCUGUGCAUUCAUCUUUAAUUGUAUUGGUUCCAAAAUCACUGGGGGCCUCAAAGCUAGAAGAUUACAGACCAAUCAACUUGAUUUAUGGUCUUUAUAAGAUUGUUCUGAAGAUUCUAGCCAAUAAAUUAAAAUCUAUCAUGCCAAAAAUUAUCCGUCCAUACCAGAGUGCCUUUGUCUCUGGACACCAAAUUUUGGAUAGUUUCCUCAUUGCUAAUGAGAAGGUGGACUUCCAUAGAAAAUUGAAAAUUGGCUGUUUUCUAUUCAAGGUGGAUUUCAAGAAAGCAUUUGAUAUGGUAAGGUGGGAUCAUCUACAAAAAAAACUAUGGAGUUCAGGUGGAUCUCUUGGAUUCGUUCUUAUGUUUCUCAUGCUAGGGUAUCUAUCCUAGUUAAUGGAAGACCUACUUCGGAGUUCAAUUUGUUGAAUGGGCUAAGACAAGGGGACUUAUUGCCCCCAUUUCUAUUCAUUAUAGCAAUUAAGCCUCUCAGUUUGUUGAUUCAGGAAGCUUGUUUAAGAGGUAGUGUAGAAGGGGUUUCUAUUGGUUCAGGUGGUAUGCUAAAGUUCAUUAGCAGUUGGCUAAUGAUAAGCUUUUCUUUUGCCCAUCGAAGAUGGAAUAUAUUAUUAAUUUUGCCAGAAUUUUGCGUUGUUUUCAUGCUGUCAUAUUUAAGGGUAAAUUUCCAUUAAAGUGUUUUCUUUGGAAUUAAUUUAGAUGAAGAUUUUCUGAAUUCUGCAGCUUCAAUAGCAUGUUGCAAAGUUGGGUCCUACCUUGGCUUCCCUUUGGGGGCUAAUGUGAAGCAAAAAGCUACAUGGACUCCUGUACUUAAGAAAAUUGACAACAAACUCAACUUUUGGAAAGGGAAAAUUCUGUCUUUAUCUAGUCGAUUGACACUGAUCAAAUCAUGCUUAUCCAGGUUGCCAUUAUGUUAUUUAUCUGUUUCUAAUGUUCCGAAAGGUGUGGCUAAGAUGAUUGAAAAAAUGUUUAGAGAUUUCUUCUAGGUUGGUGGUGAUUAUAAAAAGAAGAUCCAUCUUGUGAGUUGGAGCACCCUCACAAAGCUUAAGGAAAAUGGAGGUUUGGGAAUUUCGAAUAUUCUCUUACAUAAUCCAGCUCUCCUUUUCAAAUGGCUGUGGCAUUUUCAAUCACAGCUUGAGGCACUUUGGGUUUCAGUACUUCGAUCAAGAUACCCUUUUUCUCUUGAUAAUGGUCUUCAAUUAACUAACAGGUGUUCUCUAUCCUCAGUGUGUAAGGAUAUCCAACACCCCGUUUCUUCAUCUAAUAGUAGCUUCUCAAUCAUGGAUAACUUAUGCUUUGCAGUUGGGAAUAGGGGUAAAACACUAUUCUGGCUUGAUAAGUGGAUCUCUGAUAUCCCACUGAAGUUCACUUUUGCCACCUUUUCAAUCUAUCUUGCACUCCUAAUGCUCUUGUUUAUGAGAUGGGGCGCUAGAUUGGCAAUGUUUGGGAAUGGAAUUUCUCUUGGAGACAGGCACUGUUCUCAUGGGAAGCCGAGUCUUUAGCACUUUUGAUGGGCCUUCUUCACUCUGUUAAUCUUUGUCAAUUUAGGAGUGAUAAGCUAUUAUGGAAGCUUACAACAAAUGGGAAAUUCUCGGUGAGUUCUCUAUAUAAGGGCUUAAUACAAUCCACCUCUUUGAGUAAUUAUAAUUGUGCUUUUGUGUGGCUAGGCUUAGCCCCUCCCAAAGAAAAAAUUCUAGUCUGGUUUGCUUGUCAUAAUAGGCUGUGUACUCGAGAUUGCUUGUAUUCUAUUAAUCUUAUUCCUUGCACUGAAGAUGUUUGCUUUCGAUGUUCAGCAGAAAAUGAAACGGUACCUCAUAUUUUUUUAAAGUGUCCAUUUGCUUGGCGCAUUUGGUAUUGGUUUCUAAGAUGGUGGGAGAUUCAGUUUUAUCUUCCAAAUUCUGUUAAUCUUCUUCUUGUUGAAUGGAAGUCUUUAGCUUUUGGUUGCUUUAAAAAAUGGUUUCGAAAUAAUCUUUUCUUUGCAAUCAUGUGGUCUAUCUGGUUAGAUAGAAAUGAAAAGAUAUUCAAUGGAUCUGAUACCUUUGUUGCUGAUGUGGUUGCGUUGGUGCUUCAUCGCAUUUCAAUUUGGAUGAAAGCAUAAGAUGUGAACUUUCCUUUCUCUGGUUUGGACCUAUUGGUGUCGUUUGCUUCAAUUAGAUGCUGGACCAAUCCUAUUAAAUCCCACCUACAACUGUUUUGGUCUGCUUCCCCUGCACAUGUUUGGAAAUGUAAUGUAUAUGGUUCUUCAUUAGGUAAACCUGGUAAAAGUGCAAUUGGUGGUAUAUUACGUGAUGUUAUUGGCAACUUUAUUUGUUUGUUUUCUUGCCCAACAGGCUUGGAAGACUCAAAUGUAGCAGAACUAAAAGCUAUUCAAAAGGCACUUGAGCUAUCCCUAUCUUUGGCAAAAAUUCAUAGUGGCUCUGUUUCUCUAAUUGUAGAAUCUAACACUUCAAAUGCAAUUGCAUGGGUGACUAAUUUGGAUUAAGCAACAUGCCUUUCUAGCAUAUGGGGUUCCAAGAAGUGAUAUUAAAUUAUUUUCCUUAAUGCAGAAGGCUGCUUACACCAUUGGAGGGCACACAUUCAGUGCUGUUGACAUUGAAUUCGUUAUUCUGAAAAUAAAACCUCCAGCCUAUCGCCCACAAAUAGUAUGUUACAAGCUUAAUUCCCUUUAGAAGCCCUAGUGAAAUGCAGCCAAUGUUGUUGGGGCCAAGGCAUGCUGACUUGAUUGAUCCAAUUUCCUUUAUUUUUUUUUUUUUGCCAUGGUAGAUCAAGGACUAGCAUCAUGGUUAUCAAAUCCAGACCGGAUUAACCAGAAACCGUAGCCUGAUCCGGUUCGAUUUGAUGAACAAACCCUGAUCAUAGAAAAUUGGUAAGAACCAGUUUGAACUGACAGGAUAAUAAGUGAAACGGAAAUCCGGCAAGAUCUGAAAUGAUUUUCUCACUCAACAAAAACUUUUUAAAUUGGUUAAGGCAGCAGAGUUUGGACCUGGGACGUUGGGUGCAUAAUUGUAUCUAACUAUUUGAACUACUACUGCUUUUACCAUUGUUUUACAAAAAGUUUUCUUGUACAACCCUCCGAGAUCUUCUGAAACUCGACUUUCCUCCUUGGACCCAGAGAAUAGCUGUUCUUCCUCUUCCUGUUUUUGACAAGCAACAAGUCAAAAGGUUGUGCAGAUAAAGAGAGUGUAUAAUAAUCAGUAGUGCAUGCUUCUACACGAACAAACUUGACGGCACACACAAGCAACAAACCCUUAGAUUAACUCCACUGACAGUAGUGACAUCAUUGAGUUAUUCGUUGCUUUGAUCCCAAAGGGCCCUAGAUAUUUUUGCUUC